CUUGUGAAGUGGCUGUUUGGUCUCUCCAAUGUAGAGGUCUGGGCAUUCCUCGCUGCACUGUACAGCAUACACCACAUUGUUAAGUUUGUGUCUUGGCGUUUUGUCUUUCGGGUGAACCAGUUUUUGUCUGAGCGUGUUGUUGGGUCUGAAAUACACUGGGAUGUCAUGCUUGGAGAAAACUCUCCUGAGUUUCUCUGAUACACCGGCUACAUAGGGGAUGACAAUGUUGUUGCGUCUGUCCUUCUUAUCCUCCCUCGCUGGUGUCUGGUCUUCUUUUCUGUACCUCUUUGCUGACUUUAAGUCCAGACGCUUUUCUUUGAAAGCUCCUUUGACUCUGAUACAAGAGCUGUCUCAUGUUGCGCCCAGGUGGGGAAAGAAUGAAAAGAUAAACCAUUUUCAACCUUAUUCCCUUGCCGGUCGUGCGAUCUAACUUUACGACCGACCGCACAGCAAGUACGAACCAUAGCUGGUGUUAUCCAUGUACUUUCGCUCCUCUUUCGCUAGCGCUUUGUUUGGCGCAGAAACAUGGCGCCUCAACCAAAAAUCAUGGCCACGCUCCAAAAGCCCUAUUAGGCUAAUCGUUGCGUCACUUCCGGUAUUUCAGACAAUCCCUUUCCGUCAAAGAUUUUUAAUUUGUUGUGGGUUUUUGUAAUUUGUUGUGGGUUUUUGUAAUUUGUUGUGGGGUUUUUUAAUUUGUUGUGGGUUUUUGUAAUUUGUUGCAGGUUUUUGUAAUUUGUUGUGGGUUUUUUUAAUUUGUUGCGGGGUUUUUUUAAUUUGUUGCGGGGUUUUUUAAUUUGUUGCGGGUUUUUAAUUUGUUAUGGUUUUUUAAUUUGUUGCGAUUUGCACUUCCCAGCCACCGUAUUAUUCCGAUAGCCUGAUAUGUAGGAAUCGACGGUUAUAAAUAUAUAUUUAUAGUUUUAUUUGGGGUAUAGUUUUUUACCCCAUCUCUCACCCUCUGAUAGCUGGGAUAGGCUCUAGCGCCCCCAUGACCCUGAUAAGGGUAAGUGGAAGGGAAUGGGGCGGUGAAUGGAUGUUUUUUGUUGGGUUUUUUUAAUAUGUGUAAAUCUAAUGUAACAGACUAUGUUUUUAUUCUUGUUUAUUUUUAAUUGACAGAAUUUUUGUGCUGUUGAAAUUUUAGAUUAUGUCAUAUUAAUGACUGACGUUAAAUAGCACUGCUGACCAAAGAGCACAAAAUGACUAAGGCUUUUAGUUCUGGCAUUUUAAACAGCACAGCACAAGAAAUUGAAAAAUAAGCGUGAAACAACACUCAUUUUUCAAUUCAUAGCUCUAUUGGUUAAUAAAUUAAUCCCUUUUCACAGUAUGCAAAACAUACUAUACAAACUAUUUUUUCUCAUUUUGGAGUGUUAUCACUCUAUCUGCUGUAUCACUUUAUAUUUUAGCGCAUAUGCCAUUAUCUGCCUUGAAGUUUAAGUUGUGGUCUCCAAGUUGCAGCUAUUAGAAGUCUGCUUGACAAGAAAAAGUGCAACUGUUUUUAUGAAAGGAUUUGGUUUAAUGUUCUUCUCAGUGUGCACUGCACCAUGUUGAGUUGACUGAAAGGAGGUAAAA
ensembl:lncRNA